UAACUUGUUAUUAUCAUAUGAUGCAUAAACUUCCACCCUUCAAACACAAAAGUAUUGAAGAUGAAAUGUAAUUUUGAAAAGGAGGGGUUCCUAUUUGAAAAUCAAAAGUGUGCAUUUAUUAUUUAAGGUACAUGAAGUAGGGGAAAAAAAUUUAAAAUGGUUUUAAAAUAAAGCUUAAACGAUUCCAUAAUGGUUAGAAAAAACAGAAAUCAAAUUUAUUUAAAAUCCUCUGAAAUUAUUGCUGGUUCAUGAUAAAAAAAAUCACCCUGUAUAUAUAUAUAUAUAUAUAUAUAUAAGAGUUUUAAUAACAAAUUUUAACGAAAAUCAUAAAUAUUAUAGCCUUUCAAAACAUGUAUAACCGAACUUCGCUCUAAAUCGUUUUCCGUUAGUAAUGACUUAUCGUUGCUAACACAUAUAAAUUAAAUAAUUUUAUGUAUCCUACCUUCCCAACUUUCUACCUACAACAAUAGCAGACCGAUCCCAAUAUCAGCUCUUUUUCUAAAUUAUAAUUAGAAAUACAGUAAAAAAUCAUUUAAAAAGAUAAAUACACUGAAAUUGCUAUAUCUAAUAGAAAUCUUAUACAGCAAAACCAACACUAUCUUAAAUUUUUAAUUAUCUCGGAUUUAUUUCAACUUGUACACCGAAUGCAUAUACAAUCGUAUAAAUGUAUACU